rnacentral:rRNA from 1 species
UGUUAUACUUAUUAUAAAAUUAAUUAUACCUGAUUAGUAAAAGAUAUGUGCUCUAAAUUCAAAGAAUUUGGCGGCUUUUUAAUCUUAUUAGGGGAACCUGCUUUUUAAACGAUAAACCACGAAAUAUCUUACCUGUUUUUGAUAGUUUGUAUACCGUCAUUUAGAUAACUUUUACAGGAAAAGUUGUUGAGAUGGCUAUUUGCUAGGAUGUUAGAUCAAGGUGCAGCAUAUAGACAGGUUAAGGUGGGUUACAAUAAAAUUUAUUUAUUACGAAAGAAGUUUUGAAGAAAGCUUUUAGAAGGUGGA